rnacentral:rRNA from 1 species
GCCCAGACUCCUACGGGAGGCAGCAGUAGGGAAUCUUUCACAAUGGGCGAAAGCCUGAUGGAGCAACGCCGCGUGCAGGAUGAAGGCCUUCGGGUUGUAAACUGCUUUUAUAAGCGAGAAAUAUGAUGGUAACUUAUGAAUAAGGAUCGGCUAACUACGUGCCAGCAGCCGCGGUCAUACGUAGGAUCCGAGCAUUAUCCGGAGUGACUGGGUGUAAAGGGAGCGUAGACGGCGGCGCAAGCCAGAUGUGAAAGCCCGGGGCUCAACUCCGGGACUGCAUUUGGAACUGUGUGGCUGGAGUGUCGGAGAGGCAGGCGGAAUUCCUAGUGUAGCGGUGAAAUGCGUAGAUAUUAGGAGGAACACCAGUGGCGAAGGCGGCCUGCUGGACGAUGACUGACGUUGAGGCUCGAAAGCGUGGGGAGCAAACAGGAUUAGAUACCCUAGUAU